rnacentral:rRNA from 1 species
UACGUAGGGGGCAAGCGUUGUCCGGAUUUAUUGGGCGUAAAGAGCGUGUAGGCGGCCAGGUAGGUCCGUUGUGAAAACUCGAGGCUCAACCUCGAGACGCCGAUGGAAACCAUCUGGCUAGAGUCCGGAAGAGGAGAGCGGAAUUCCAGGUGUAGCGGUGAAAUGCGUAGAUAUCUGGAGGAACACCGGUGGCGAAGGCGGCAUCCUGGACCAAUACUGACGCUGAGGAGCGAAAGCCAGGGGAGCAAACGGG